GAUGAAGAACGUAUCGAAAUGCGAUAACUAAUGUGAAUUGCAGAAUUCCGUGAAUCAUCGAGUCUUUGAACGCACAUUGCGCCCCCUGGUAUUCCGGGGGGCAUGCCUGUCCGAGCGUCAUUGCUGCCCAUCAAGCACGGCUUGUGUGUUGGGUCCUCGUCCCCCCCGGGGGACGUGCCCGAAAGGCAGCGGCGGCACCGCGUCCGGUCCUCGAGCGUAUGGGGCUUUGUCACCCGCUCUGCAGGCCCGGCCGGCGCUGGCCGACGCGAAAGCAACCAUUUUUUCUCCAGGUUGACCUCGGAUCAGGUAGGGAUACCCGCUGAACUUAAGCAUAUCAAUAAGCGGAGGA
rnacentral:misc_RNA from 1 species